UGACUCUCAACAAAUUGAAAAGAAAUACACAGUGAAUGUGUAGUGUUAAUUUAUUUUAUUAAUCGAAAUAUUCCGCUGUCGAAGGAAUAAGUGGUCGACAAUAACAGUGGAUUUCAAUUUUUAUAUAUAUAUAUAUUAUAAAUCAUUUUACCCAAAUUAUAUGGCAAUUAUAAAAAAAAAUUAGGAAAAAAAAAAUACAACCAAAUCGUGUAUUUAUUAAAUGAUCUUGUAAAUAUUACUUGUAAAUUAUAUUCGAAUUAGAUAGCGAAUGUUUUUAUCCUUUCACGUACGUUUGUAUGUAUGUAUGUAUGUAUGUAUGUAAGGUAAUUUAGUCCAUCGCUCAGCGUCGUCGAAAUUUUUUAAGAUAUUCUUCAUAACAUGUUAUAAUGUAUGUAAACUUAGAUGUGAAUUCUCUGUACAUAGUGGCGCAAAGCGGUGUGCCGUUUUCGGAAUAUCGGAAUUAUUUAAAAUGUAAAUAUUAAUUAGAAGUAUAACUAAGCGUAAGUUAAGACUGAUUUGCUUUCGAUAUUUCUUUUAGAAUUUAAAGAUAUAAUACAAUCAAAGGGAAUGUCGUCGUGAUAAAUUUAAAGAUCAAAUUGCAGAUUAAAUGAAUAUACAGAUAAAAAAAAAACUUUUUAAAAAAAGAACGUUUUUUUUAUUAAUAUACUGGUUGAACGUUUUUUAAUGAUAUCGUUUUGAUUGUACUGUAUCUUUGUAUCAUAUAUUCAUUCGGAAUAGAAUUAACCGACUGACAUAGAUAAUUUCGCUUUAUUAAUAUUAUGUUUUUUAUUUUAAUAACGCAAUGUUAUCAAUCAUGUUUAAUUUUUAUACGUUGGCUUCAGCUUUACUUUGCUAUAAAUGUAUUUUAUAUUUUAAUUUACGAUCCGUUACAAUAUCAGCGUAUUGCAAAUUAAAUUUUAGAUUUUUUUACUGUAAGAUACCAUUGUAUAGUAUCCUUAAGAAUGUCAUUACGCACUAUGUGUGAGAAGAAAAGAGACAGCAACAGUUAAUACUGUAGACUCUCGAUAAUCCGACAAAUGUUUUACAAGGCGAUGUUAGGGUACAGAGUGCUGCCAUCCCGGAUUUUUCCAGUCCAGAUUUUUUUAAUUAAAAUAUAUAUAUAUUGUAUAAUUUGACAAAUGCUAUGCGUUAAAGUUUGAAGUUUCGCUUGCGUUGGCUUACAAAGAGCGUUGGUUUAGAUAUUAGUCGGAUUGUCAAGAGUCAUGUAACUUGCAUUAUAUAGACUAUCCCUGUCCCUAUUUCUUAGAGAUUCAAGUUUUGGUGUCAUCUGGGCUAAGUUUUGCUAGUGCAUAAGUAACUUUCUUAAAUGCCAUACAUAGUCUUUUUUAUUAUAAUCAAAACGCACAAUAAUAUUUAUAUAAUAAAUAAUAACUGUUUAUUAAAUAAAUCGCAAUAAUUUUUAUUUUUUUAUUUAGAAAUAAUUCUCAUCUGUCACUGUUUAAAAUUAAACGUUGUCAAUAUUAAAAAGUUAUGAUUUUUUUUUAUUUUGCGUCCAUCUAACGUUUGUUUUUUUAAGCAACAUAUCAAUGACUAUAUAAGAAACAAUCUGCAAGUUUUGGGACCAAAAAAUAUUGUCAUUGUUAAAGUUCGAAUGCCUCGAAAAGAUAUUAGCUAACUACCUAAACUAACUUUAUCAAUUGCAUUAUUAACAUGCUAAAAUAAUCGAAUUUCACAAUCAUUAGGAAAAAUUAUCAAUUUUAUCUAAAAACCAAUACUUGCCAAGUUAAAAAUGAAUUUAAAUAUUGCAACACUAAAACGUAUUUAAAAAUAUUGUACAUGCAUGAUACAUGCAAUUAUUUUUAAAUGAUCAUAUGAACAGAUAAUUUAUAUAAAAAAUUAUGGACACACAGUAUAUAGUUUUUUUUUUUAAUUAAUUUUAUCAACAACUCGUGUAAAAGCUGUACAAUAAUGUAUAUAUAUAUUAUAUCCUUACCAUGUUAUUAUUGUUGCUGUAUUUUUAACCUAUAUAUUGAAAAGUGUAAGCAUUAUCCAGCUUUAUCCUAUAUACGUACGUAGGUUUUUAUAGUAGAUAACAAUAUUGUAAAACACUAUUCGAUUAAAUUGUAAUUUAACGAAGGUUUAUUGCCAAAAUAACACAUUAAAUAAUACUAAUUACUAAAAAUAUAUUAGACUACACGUGACUAUGACACUAAUAAUUGAAAUUAAAAAAUGUUUAAUUAACACCUAAAUUAUUCAUAAAACCUAUCUGUUAUUUCAGAUAUUUUUAUACUUAAAAAUUAAAAUCUUUCAGUUUUCUGCAAGUCUCAAGGUUAGAUGUUUUAAUAUAAGCGUUAGUAGAAUAUAGGGGUAUAAAUAAUUACAGGGUACCAAUUUAAGUAAACUGCCACAAUCGACAAUUACGAAUGUAGUAUUCGACUACGUGGUCAACAAAGAGGAACUUCUAUCCUAUUGUUUUAACUACGGACUGAAAUUAAAUAAUAGGUAAUAACGUGUAACAUAGACAUAUGCGCACAUUUUCAGCCCAAUAAUCAAUAUCCUAAAAUGCGAACUUUAAAAAGUUUUUAUUUUAAACUUAAACAUUCAUUCAUUUGUUAAAAAAAGUUUUUUUUUUACAAAUGAAUGGAUGUUUAAGCUUAAAUAGAUUGCAGUGUCACUUCUAUUAGGUAUCCAUUUAUGUUGUAAUGAAGUAAGAUUAAUAUGAAGUAUAAGUUAACUAUUCUCAGCAAAAUCACUCCAGCUGCAAUGUUCAUAAUUUCACAUGAUUUAUAAAAAUAUGUCCCAUUGCAUUUGAAUACAGAUAGUUUGUUAACAACUUUGAUAAAAAAGUGAAAUUAAACCUCUUUACGUCGUUUAAUUAACUGCAAGAUUCACUUCGGUUAGUUAAUUAAUUAUUACUUGAAUUUACCCAUCAGUUAGAUAAUUUAUUAUUAAAAUGAACACAGGUGUCUCCAAACUUUAUCUUCAACUUCAUUUAAUUAUAAAGAAGUAUAAUAUAUUGGUAUAAUGUAGUGUCGAUUUUGGAUUUGUUCUUGCGGACUAUAGUUUGGAGACACCUGAUUUAAAAUAUAGAUAUAUUUGAUAUUAUUAAAAAUAUACGAUGACUACUGUAUGUACUUUUCUAUAAAAUUGAUAUUUAUAAUCAAAAUAAUAAUUCGUUAAGGGAACUAAUAUUAAUAUUUAAUUUCCUUAACGUCAAACAAAAAUGAUUAAAGUGAUAUUAAAUUUGUGCGAGAAAAUAAUAUUAUCUUUUCUCUCUUUCUAACAGGACAUGUAAUGUAUUAAUUUAAAAUUUUGAACGUAUAACGAUUAAUGAACAGUAUAAUACAGAUUUUUAUAUAAAUAUUAUUUAGGCGCUACAUUGUAGACAAUUAUGUAAAUAAUUAAUAAAUUUAUUACGUGUAA